GUGUAUGACUCCAUGUUGACUCUCCCCAGAGACCUGCAGAACCAGCAUCGCCAGGAUGGGGAAAGUGCAACAGCUGCUCGGUGCGAGGGUUCCGGAACCAAGGCCCAGGUUGCCACGGCAGCUGGGGUUCUGUUCCUGAUUUGCCAGGGUGCUGAGUCUGGUGUCUCUCAGCUGGACAGCUCCGUGUCAUCACUGACUUCUAUAAUCCUCUGGAACACCAGGGCUUAAAGAGCUGGGUGCUGCCAUCUUUAUCUGCCGGGGGGGGGUCGGGAGCUCUCAUGGCCAGUCAUUCAGGGGGUGUCCUGGUGUUCUCGUGCCCACAGAGGGACGGCCCUGGACGGCAUAAGGGUUGGUAUAAUAAACCACCACUAACCCUGCCCGCAGCCAGGGCACGUCUCAUGUCUGAUCUGCCCGACCAGAGGAGGACCCUAUUCCCUAUGUAGUGCACGACGUGUUCCCUAGAGAAUAGGAUGGUAUUUGGAGACCUAUUCCCUAUAGAGACCAGGGUCCUAUCCCCUAUAUAGUGCACUACUUUAGACCAGGGCCCUAUAUAGUACACUACUUUAGACUGAAGAUCUAAUGAAGUGCCUUGUAUAUCUGAUGAAAUAAAGGUAUUUUAUUUAUUUACACUUUCUCAAAACGAGAGGAUAGCAGAAAAACAAAGAUAGUCUGACUGUUGGGCUGGAACAAAUCCCUGCAGGAGCAUACCUCCCCAGGACAAGAGUUGGCCACCACAUCACAGCUCUCAGAUAUCAGGGCCGUGUUCACAAAGCAUCUCAGAACAGGACUGCUGAUCUAGCAUCAGUUUUGGCUUUAGGUUAUAAUGGAUAAGAGGGGACCUGAACAUAUUGAAUAAGAGGGGACCUGAUCCUAGAUCAUAAUGAAUAAGAGGGGACCUGAUCAUAUUGAAUAAGAGG
ensembl:lncRNA